rnacentral:rRNA from 1 species
GACAGAGGGUGCAAGCGUUGUUCGGAAUUAUUGGGCGUAAAGGGCGCGUAGGCGGCCUCGUAAGUCAGAUGUGAAAGCCCAGGGCUCAACCCUGGAAGUGCAUCUGAGACUGCAAGGCUUGAGUCUCGGAGAGGAUGGCGGAAUUCCCAGUGUAGAGGUGAAAUUCGUAGAUAUUGGGAGGAACACCGGUGGCGAAGGCGGCCAUCUGGACGAAGACUGACGCUGAGGCGCGAAAGCGUGGGGAGCAAGCAGG